AUAAAUUUUUUUAUUGAAUAUUAAUGAAUUACAAGUAGUGUAAGUUAGAUGUUAAGCCAAAGCACAAUUACAGGUUAAAUACAAUCACCGAGAUGUUUUAAAUAGAAACCCCACCAUGGCGUCAGUUAAGUUCCUGAUGCCCUCUUUGGAAAGUAAGUUAGAGGGUGAGGGUAAAGAGGCCUUUAGGCAAAGACACAAAGACUAGAAGAAUUUCCAUGCUGUGAGCAACUUUCCAUGACCAAAUAGCUGGGAUUGCCAGAUAGAGAAAACAAAGCAAAAGCCCAGGAUGCACAGUUAAACCUAGAUUUCAUGUAAGUAAAGAAUCUCUUCCCCACUUUAAACUGUAAGGAUAUGCUAAAUAUUGCAUGAAACACAAUGUAAAAAACUUUGAAAUUCCAGUUUAACAGGCCUUCUUAUGUUCUAUCUGACAAUCCUAUAAAUAGACAAAUGAACUCUGGUCUUUGGUGGGCACACAGACUAAAUAAAACAACACGGAUAAGAACCAAAAGGCCACUACUUACUUACACAAAACAAUAUCACAAUGAGAAAAUACAACUACUACUCAAUGCUGCCAGGAAACAUUCUAGAUUUCCUCAAAGCUGGUUUGUAAAUGUUUCUCAGAAACCUUGUGCAUCAAAGUACCUUUUUAGUUUUGUAGGUAUGAAAGACAAUUAUUACCACAAAGAUAAGAAGCUGUAGAACAAUGGGAGCAGAAGCAAUGGUUACAGUCAGGGCUACCUCCUAGCUCUAGGCUGUUGGCCUGCGAGACUUAGGUUCUUCUUAACUUUCUUUCAUUGUAGUGUUCCCCAACUGUUUGUCCUGAACAUUGGGAAGGACAGCAGAGUAUGUGGACACUUCACUACUAAACUGAAUCAUGGGGCACACUCAGGGAUGCCUGUGGAAAUAGACAGACAAAAAUGACAAAAACAAUCUGAAUUCUGGAGGGUGAGGGAACUCUUGGAAAAGAUGAUGGAGGAGUGGUACAGAGAUGCCCAGUGUAAGGGAGAGAAGGCCAAAGGAGAGUACAAAUGCAAUCCUCCUACAGUGUGAAUGUUACCUCAAAGGGCUUCUGCAGAACGCUCUGGCAGAAGUAUAAAAUAGGUCUCACUAUGACCAUAUUUGGUCUUUUAGUAUAUAAAAUCUUCAGUUUCCUACAGGUGUUCAGUUUAAUAUAUCAUAGUUUCUAUUUUAAAAUGAUUAAAAAAUAGCUCGCACACUGUGCAAAUGCUACAUGGUAUCACGGUUGUUAUUAUAUUCCCAUAUGUACAAUUUAACAGGCUUUGAAAUCUUAGCAUUUCUCCAAACCACAAGAUAUGAGGAGUUUCAGAUAUGGAGAAAUUGGAACGUAUUGAUUCUGUUCGCUGUUGUAUGUGAGGGCGUAUUAGGAAAUAUUCCCUCGUCAGCUUACCAUAUACGUAAUACAUGGAGACAUACCCCAUUCAGUGACACCGUUCCAAUGCUAAGAAAUAGAAUUAGACUGUUUCACACAUCAGGAUAUAAAAGAUUAAAAAAUGUCUGCCAAGUUAAGGCUUUCUUAAGAAGAAAAACUGCCUAUUAAUUGCAGAAUGCACAAGUUGCCAGAAGCAGCCUCUCUUAAAAGGUGGUAUUUUUGGACUGUUCUUCCUUUCCCAAUGUUAGAUGUGCUCAGAGUAGCAAGUAUUAUUUUCAUUUCUCUGUCAUUGAUUUAACAUCCUACAAACUUCAGUCUUUAAGUAAAUGUCUGACACACUAAACCCUAGUUUAAUGUCAGGUUUGAACAUUUGUUGAAUGACUAAAGUCCGUAGCUGUAGGAAGAUAAUUACUCUGAAAGAAACACAGUCAGAAGGCUACCAUAGAUAUCACACAACUGAGGUCUAGGUGCACUGGUGGAAAGCCGCUUAGAAAACUGUUUGUGAGACCAUUUACAGGAAUCCAUUUAAUGCACAUUUGAAAAGGGAAGGAGAACAAUGUUUAAUAACACUUUGUGCAUUUAGAGAAUAUGCUGAAAUAGAGAAAAAUCUCAACAGCCUAUUGCAUUUGGUAGAACUGUUUUCCUGCUUUAAACAAAAUUUUGUUUUUGUACAAUAUCUAUGACAAUAGAAAGUGAAUCUAUAUUAGUGUUUGCUUGUCAUGUUUAGGCAUUUCUCUAUAUGUUUCAAUGCACUUGGCUAUUUUAAGACAGCAAAGGGAGAUCAGCCAAUAUCAUCAAGCUCAAAGGAGCACAAGGAUGCUUGUUAUUUUGUGACUACACACAAUAUUGUUUAUUUACGUAAGCUGCUUGGCUAGAAUUUCUACUUGGCUAGAAAUUCUGGAUUGCUAAAGAGGAAGAGAAAAUAAGAAUCCUGGUGUACUGCUAUCAUUUUGUGUAGAAGAAAAACUCUGGGUUCCAUGUGGUCGUUUGCUAACAAACUGGCAGAAAUUUUGAGCACAGUUCUGGUUGUGAUAUGGAAAUGGAGAGAUACCCAGAUUCUUUUUGUAAGACUCAAGAUGAAGAGAGAAAAUAAGUGGGGUAAAAGGCAAUUAGAGCUUUCUAAAAUUACAACUAGCAAUUGAGGGAAAGGCAAAGGUAAGUCCAAGAAGGAAAGUAUUUAGAGCACUUAAUUUAUGCCUAAAUAUCCCCAGUUUAGCCACAACAAACAAACAAACAAACAAACAAACAAAAAAACCCUGGAAAACUGGGCCCCUCAGACCUAAAGAAGCCCUUUGAUUUGAACUCUGGUAAAAGCUGGUAGCAAUGGCAGAAAUGUCAGGAUUCUCUCUUCUGUUCAGUUUGGGAAUCAGAAGGUGUGUUUCAGGGAGUCCCAAACUUGUGUUUUUCAAUAGUGCAUAUAUAAGAAAUUAAACAGAGCCUAGUUAAAUUUAAUGCCACACUUUUAUAUUCCAGAAGGUUCCUCACAUUACUAUAUAUGGAAAUUCCAAGUGUGAUCAACUUUUGCUAACUUUUAAGUAUACUCAUGAUGACCUUUGGCUUUCAAGUUCUGAAAAAAUCUAUUUGGCUCCUGUGAUAUAUCCCUUAACCUAAUCUCUUUAAUUGAUAAUGUACAUACACUCUUUCAAGACCUAUGACAUGCUUGAAUCGACUAAAAGCGCUGCGAUGUCUUCUUUACAUGUACCUUUACUAGGUAUACAGAACAUCAGACAUAGAACACUGGCAGUUGAAUGAACCACAAUCUUAACUUCUCAAGUGUAAAGCCCACAUUUAAAACUGGCACAUGUAUGAAUCUAAUUAGUAUAUGAUGGAAAUAACACAACAUCCAACCACAGUUGGGUAGUGGUUUAUCUUUUUAAUGAAGCUAUAGAGCUGUCCAUAUCUACACCAUAUUAACUUGUUUAUUUAACUAAAACUCACAGCUGUAUUUACUGUUCUGACUAUGUUGGAGGUGAGGGCGAGUAAUACACACUCCACAGCUACUGAAAAUGACACCGAGAGCCAGGUCUUCAACCAUUUUACACACAGCAAAAAAGAAGGGAAGGAGGAAAAAAGCCCUCUAGUGCCACUAAAUACACAGCCAAAAAAAAAGCACCCAGCCUAGCAGCAGGUAGCGCUAACUCUUGGCUGAGCUUUGAGGACCCAUGCAAGCUUCAAAUAGAAAAUUCAGCAGUCUCAGUGCCUCGUUCUAGCAUUGGGCUAAAGCCACAAAAAAAGGUUAUUUCGAGAGCUUAUUUCUAAGAUUUUGCAUGUAGCCAUUUUAUUUCACGUUUGGAAACUUAAAGGAGGUCACAGCUUAAUCAGACUGCACUAAAAAGAAAAGUUAUAUUAGUUUUCAGGACUUUCAAUGGAUGUGGCAGGUUUACACUGGUUCUUAUUUUUCUAUGAUGUUCACAUUACUUUUGCUUCAAAGCUGAGUGAGAUGCACAGCAUGUCAAGUAAAUAAAAAUAUGCACUCUGCCCAAUACUCAGUCAUGGUGAACAGGGCAAGCCUAAGGACUGAAGUGGGUAACUUUCAUUACUGUCAAUAUGUACUUUGCAAAUGUUGGGGAGAAGAAGCAGUAUGGUGCUUCCUUAUCAAAUUCAUUAAAAAAAAUAACCAAAAGGGCUUUGGUUUCAAUUUUUUGUCUAAAUAUAUUAAGAAUAGCUCAAAAAUUUAGUGCAGAGAUCUUUAUAAACUAUUUGAAGCAUGCUACUCAAAAUACCCUUCAAAUCUGAAGU